CUGUCGCGGUGGCGCCGUGUGCUGCUUNAGGGGAUGAGNCGCANGAGUCAACGCUCCCCUCUGCUGUCUUUUAUUAUAAGUGGGAGCGCCCCCCGCGCUGGGUGAUGNGACGGAUNGUCCCCNGUCCCGCUGGCUGCNCCUCUNUUGAGCGACGCCGGGUGAUAUCUCUAAUNAGCGCGUGGUCGGUCCUGCCCUGCAGGGUUUUCUUUGUUUAUAUUAUCGCCGCCCCCACACCCCCCUCUUUUUUUUGUUGGGGGGGNCCUCCCCNGGGGGCUGUGUUUUUUUUCUUUUCUGUGGGCGAAGGGUGUCGUCCUCCCAGCCCGUGUCUUNUCUGGGUGGCGGGCNCCGCGUUCCUCCCCNACAGGGGGGNACUACCACCCGUUUUUNUUGCUNGNGGUGUGUAGGCCCCCCCCCCAGUGGUGGGCCGCGUUUCCCUCGGGGGGCCCUCUCCANGUGAGGG
rnacentral:rRNA from 1 species